rnacentral:rRNA from 1 species
AUGGAAAACGAAGCACCCGAGCAAGUUCUAGCACUAGCUUCCAGCAGGGAGGGCAACAAAAAGCAAGUGACUAGCAGCAGAAAAGAGAGGCAAUCAGAAACCAAGACUGUCGUUCCUCCUAGAACAAAAAUACAAAAGAGAAAGGACAAAACUCAACUCAUCAGCGAAGGAGCUACCUUGCAGCAGCAGCAGCCAAGUCCUCUAAUGGUGCUCCCGCCAGCAGUUAGAGGCGUCGAGAAUGAACUAACUAAAACCAAGAAGAAAAACAAAAGACAACGGUUGGAAGAAGACGAGGAUGAUGCCAGCAAAGAGUCAGAGCGUGAUGCUGCCGACGACGACGAUGGCACAAAACAUGAUGAUGAUCUCAUUCGUACAGAGGGCAGUGACGCCGCAGGGGACAACGGUGGCGCCGCAGAGGAUAGCAACGAUGAUGUAAAACCAAACCAGAAGCGCACAAAGAGGAGAAAGACAAGUGGAAAAGAAUUGGCAGCACCAACGGAUGAUGAACAGGAGGCAACAAAAAAUAUGGACAAAUGCGAAAUCAAGGCAGGAGCAGCAUUUGAUCAGGUCAAUAGAGCAUGGAAUUUACUUGAAGAACGUCACCGACAAGAUUUUAGGACAGUCGGGUUUGGAAGCAUAGAGAAAUGCCAAAUAAAGCGCUCCAUCUGCAAACUGCUUGCAGCACACAUCUAUGACAACUUGGACACAGAAAGCAUGACAAUAAUGUUCGGUGAAGCUGAUCAGCAGAAAGAAAUCAAGAUAACAAAGGAAGGCAUCCACAAGGUGUUUGGAUACCAAAAAUGGUACGCAAAAGUCAGCUCCAAGGCCAUAGAUUUCCACCGAUACAAUGAGCGAACUGGUCAUAGAACUUCACCUCGGCAAAAUGGAAUUCCACCACGAAGAUCUGUUUAA